CUGGAGGAGAACAUGGACUAUGGACUCAGAACUUCCAGGUCCAUAUCCAGCUUCUACUACUACUAACUGUGUGUGACCAUGCUCAGCCAUCAUGCUCUGAGGAAGCCCAAACCAGCCAAUGCUGAGAGACCACAUAGAGAGAAACCAUUCAGACAAGAGCAGAAGCUGCAACCUAUCAUCUGCAUCAACAGAUUGGAGCACAAGUGAUGUAUUCAGUGCUGCAUGCCCAUGGUUAAGACCCUUGACUAAGCUGAUAGAGGGUGUGGCUACUGCCUUCCAAG